rnacentral:misc_RNA from 1 species
GGGUGAUGUUCUAUAUGUAAUUCAAAAGCUUCUUCCUAGCUCUAUAAAAAAAGAUGACAAUAGCAAAAUAAGUCUUUGCUCAAUACAGAUAUGGGAGAAAACUAAAGAUCUGAAGGCACAAGUGGAGACGCACUAUAAAUCCUUAAAAUUCACUCCAUCGCAAUUCCCCACUGUUGGUGGAUGGAGCUUUCUGGAUUCUCUUAUGCGGAAACUGAAAGAGAUGUCGAAAUCUAAAUCUUGUUUAGAUUUCCUGAUGAAACCUCUUUUGGGGAAUUUGGAGAAAGAGCUAUCAGCUCUUACAUCCAUUUUAGAGAAGGAUCUGUCAUCUUUAUCAUCCAUUUUAAGCGAUGUCGCCAAGGUGCACCAUGAACAUGAAAUUCUUCAAGAUCUUCACAGGCGUACUAUCAAUUGGGCAUAUGAAGCGGAAGUUGCGAUUGACUCUAUUCUUGCUCAGUAUAAUGUCUUUUGGCAUAUUUUUUGCUCACUUCCUACAAUCUUAAAAGAAAUCAAGCAAAUUAAUGUGCAGGUGACUCAGAUGUGGUCAGCGGACAUUGCUCUUAAGCCUUGCUAUAUGGUAGCACCAUUUGAAUACUUCCCAACUCGACAUAUCAAUCCAGUGACUGAUGAGGAUAUAGUGGGUUUUGGGAAUGACAUAGAAAAAAUGUUUCAGUAUCUGAUUAGAGGUACAAAUGAUCUAGACGUUGUCCCAAUUGUAGGCAUGGGUGGACAAGGGAAAACGACAGUUGCUAGAAAGGUGUACAAUAGUGACAACAUUGUUUCUCAUUUUGAUGUUCGAGCAUGGUGCAUCGUUUCCCAAACAUAUAACCGGAGAAAGCUAUUACAAGACAUUUUGAGUCAAGUUACCGGUUCCAAGGACAAGGGGUAUGAGGAUGAUAUCCUUGCUGAUGAGUUGAGGAAAAGCUUAAUGGGCAAGAGAUAUCUCAUUGUCUUGGAUGAUAUGUGGGAUUGUAUGGCAUGGGAUGACUUAAGGCUUUCCUUUCCAGAUUCCGGAAAUAGAAGCAGAAUAGUAGUAACAACUCGACUUGAGAAAGUGGGCGAACAAGUCAAGUUCCAUACUGAUCCUUAUUCUCUUCCGUUCCUCACAAAAGAAGAGAGUUGUGAAUUGUUGCAGAAAAAAGUGUUUCAAAAGGAAGAUUUCCCGCCUGAACUACAAGAUGUGAGUCGAGCAGUUGCAGAAAAAUGCAAAGGACUGCCCCUAGUGGUUGUCUUGGUAGCUGGAAUAAUCAAAAAAAGGAAAAUGGAAGAAUCUUGGUGGAAUGAGGUGAAAGAUUCUUUAUUUGACCACCUUAAUCGUGAGUCGGAAGAAUAUAGUCUUUCAACUAUGCAGUUGAGUUACUAUAACUUAACCGACUGUUUAAAGCCUUGUCUUCUUUAUAUGGGGAUGUUUCAGGAGGAUGCAAUAAUUCGAGUAUCUGAAUUGAUAAGUCUAUGGAUUGCGGAAGGAUUUGUGCAGAGCAUUGAAUCUGGGAGAUUGUUGAUGGAAGAGGCAGCUGAAGGUUACUUGAUGGAUCUCAUUCAGAGUAACGUGGUAAUGGUUUCAAAUAGAAGGUAUAAUGGUAAGGUCAAAUACUGUCAGGUUCAUGACGUAGUGCUUCACUUUUGCUUGGAGAAGAGUCUAGAAGAAAAGUUUAUGUUGGCAGUGAAGGGGCAUGAUAGCCAGUUUCAACCUUUUGAAUGGAAGGAAAACCGAGUGAGCUUCAGUUUCAGUAAAGAGCUUUCCAAGUUUGCAUCUCUAGGAUCCAAAACACGGAAGUCUUUCCACCAACACUUGAGGUCACUGAUAACGAUAAAUAACCUAGAGUUAAUUGAUGGGAUUCCCUUCUGUCAGAUUCUUAAAUUGCGACUUCUUAAGGUCUUGAUUUUGACUUCCCAUGAAGUGGAUUAUUUGUCGUCAGCUACAUUCAAACCUCUAAAUCACCUGAAAUACCUCG